UAGGGAAUCUUCCGCAAUGGGCGAAAGCCUGACGGAGCAACGCCGCGUGAGUGAUGAAGGUCUUCGGAUCGUAAAACUCUGUUAUUAGGGAAGAACAAAUGUGUAAGUAACUAUGCACGUCUUGACGGUACCUAAUCAGAAAGCCACGGCUAACUACGUGCCAGCAGCCGCGGUAAUACGUAGGUGGCAAGCGUUAUCCGGAAUUAUUGGGCGUAAAGCGCGCGUAGGCGGUUUUUUAAGUCUGAUGUGAAAGCCCACGGCUCAACCGUGGAGGGUCAUUGGAAACUGGAAGACUUGAGUGCAGAAGAGGAAAGUGGAGUUCCAUGUGUAGCGGUGAAAUGCGCAGAGAUAUGGAGGAACACCAGUGGCGAAGGCGACUUUCUGGUAUGUAACUGACGCUGAUGUGCGAAAGCGUGGGGAUCAAACAGG
rnacentral:rRNA from 1 species